UGCCCCUUGGCUGAGUUGGUUACAGCGUCCGACUGUUACGUUUCUCGGGCGAGAAAAUGAAUCAUCGGAAGGUCGUGAGUUCGAGCCUCACAGGGGCAG